AUUGAACGCUGGCGGAAUGCUUUACACAUGCAAGUCGAGCGGCAGCGCGGCCUUCGGGCUGGCGGCGAGCGGCGAACGGGUGAGUAAUGCAUCGGAACAUGCCCAGUCGUGGGGGAUAACACUUCGAAAGAAGUGCUAAUACCGCAUACGUCCUGAGGGGGAAAGCGGGGGAUCGCAAGACCUCGCGCGAUUGGAGUGGCCGAUGUCAGAUUAGCUAGUUGGUGGGGUAAAGGCCUACCAAGGCGACGAUCUGUAGCUGGUCUGAGAGGAUGAUCAGCCACACUGGGACUGAGACACGGCCCAGACUCCUACGGGAGGCAGCAGUGGGGAAUUUUGGACAAUGGGGGCAACCCUGAUCCAGCCAUUCCGCGUGAGUGAAGAAGGCCUUCGGGUUGUAAAGCUCUUUCGGCAGGAACGAAACGGUGGGCUCCAACAUAGUCCGCUAAUGACGGUACCUGAAGAAGAAGCACCGGCUAACUACGUG
rnacentral:rRNA from 1 species